GAGGGGAUUUUGUGGAAACAUGGAAGGAAGAGCAGCCAUGAGGUCCUCGGUGAAAAUCACGAUCGAUAAUCGCCAUCGUCGAUUUAUUUUGCAUUUGUUUACAAUUUUCGCGAAGUGAAAAUGCAAGCCGAUUAAGAGAAAAAGCCCGUUUAUUAGCGAAAGGAGAAAACUCGAUUCUUCGACUUUUCAGAGCUUUUCGCCCUACGCUUCCGCUCGAUCGGCCAAACUUGGGAUAGCGUGAGAUAUCUAUUUCAGUAUUUCACUUUAUUAAUAUCUACGUUUGAUUUGGCCUCGUCCGCGUUGUCACCAGUUGGGGAUCCAUCGGUGAAGAAUGAUGACGAUUUGUUAAAAAUUGACUGAUCCGGGCAAAAUGGGAGAUUGCGAAGGGCUUUACGGCAUAUUCCGCUUUGUGGUGUCCGUCCUUUGCCACUAUGACAAAGCCAAGGCCGCCAAAGCCCUGGCCUGCUUGAGGUCUGUCUUCAAGAGCGUUUUGAGUCGGAGGUUCUCUGUCGUCGGAGUUCCUGAAGCGCUCUUGAGACUCGCCUUCCCUGACAGCACUCAACUUGCACAGAGUGAGCUGCUCUUCGUCAACGAAGACUUCAGAGACCGCCACCACAAAUGGUCCGCCGUCCAUUUUUCCUCAGGGCGAAAGUCAUAUGUGAGAAUGCUGAAAAUUAUUCCGUCACCUCUCAUCCCCAAAAACUGCUCUCUCAUAAGCAACUAUACCCUGUUCAAUGUGAAGAACCAUUUAAAGCCAAGCUGUUACUUGCUCUCGACACACCAGUUUGUUGAAUUCUCAUUUAAGGAAACCCAUGACGACUAUUAUCACAGAGAAGCUACAAAAUUGGUCAUAUCAUUCUUCAACGAUUCGUACCAAUUGUCGCAAAGCUAUAUCAACGAGACUUUAGAGAAUUUUGUACACAUGCCAAAAUUUGCUAGCAAAGAUGAUGUUAUAGGAAUAGAUCUGAGUGUAUAUGGAGCUUACCACAAACAAGGGACGAUAUACUUCCGUGUCGUCCGAGUCGAAUGUGAUGGAGUCGAAGUGCCAGGGGAGGUGUUUGCCAUAACAGAAUCGACUUCAAUUUACAGCGAAAAGACAUCUCAAGGUUUUCUUCCUCCCGUCGAAUGGGAAUUAGUUGAAAAUGAAAAUUUACGAAGUAUCAGCCCAAUCCUUCCUUUAGGGCUGGAAGAUUUCUACAACAUAAUUUUAAGAUGGUUCACCCCUUUCUUCUCAUACCAUAUAGAUGAUUUGACCCCCUUUUUUAUAGUAAGUGGUAAACGAGGUUCUGGCAAAAGUAUUACAUUGGAAGCAGUCAGUAAAAAAUUAGGCGUCGGUUUUAAUAAGUUGGACUGUAGCAACCUUUUGGCGAGUACGCAGACUCAAAUAAAUGCAAACAUUAAGACUGUUAUGAGAAAUUUGACUAACUUUUCACCAUGUGUAUUAGAACUUUAUAAUACUCAGCUUUUAUCAAUAGAUUCAGAUGGAAUAGAUAGUGAACAAAUAUUAUCUAGUUUCUCCCAAAAUAUCAAGAAUUUAAAUUCUGAUUAUCCUUUUGUUGUUGUAAUGACUUGUGAAGACAUAAACGAAUUGAAGCCUAGUCUUGUUAGCUUAUGUUUAGAACAUCUACAAAUAUCUUCCCUUAAUGAGUCUCAGAGGCAUUUGAAUAUCACAUGGUUGGCUCACAGAUAUCGAAUUACACUUAGUGAAGAGAUUCAUAACUAUAUUACAAUGCAGACUUCUUCGUUUUCAAAUUCAGAUUUACAGAAGUUGUUGUGCCUUUCGGAAAAAGAACGUAUAAAAGGAGGAUCUGAAGUCAUGGAGACGCAUCACAUUAAGAAAAUAUUAGAACAAAUGACCGUUGUAAAAAGAGGAGACAUGAAAGAUGUCGAAUGGCAAGAUAUCGGUGGUAUUGAAGCUAUUAAAAAAGAAGUUAUAAGUUCGUUGUUAUCUAGUCAGCUAACAUCUGUAAAAAGGACAGGUGUGCUUCUCCAUGGACCACCAGGAACGGGGAAAACUCUUCUCGCAAGGGCUGUGGCCUCACAAUGCGGAAGGGCAUUCAUUUCAGUUAAAGGGCCUGAAUUACUUAAUAUGUACGUCGGACAAAGUGAAGCAAACAUUAGGCAAGUUUUCAGUAAAGCUAAAGAAGCUUCACCUUGUAUUAUUUUCUUUGAUGAGUUGGAUUCGCUUGCCCCUAACAGAGGGAACAAAUCAGACUCUGGAGGUGUGAUGGACAGAUUAAAACUAAUAUUUCUAGAGUUGUAUCCCAAUUAUUAACUGAAAUGGAUGAGCUUGAUAGCACAGGCAAUGUAUUUAUCCUUGGGGCAACCAAUAGGCCUGACCUAAUAGAUCCUGCUUUGCUAAGGCCAGGAAGAUUUGAUAAAAUGAUAUACAUCGGCCCUUGCGAAGACACUGAAUCAAAGCUUAAAGUUAUGUCAGCUCUCAUUAGAAACUUCAAUCUCGAGGAGAUCGAAUUGGAAAACAUUGUCAACAAACUUCCCGACAAAUUAACAGGUGCUAAUCUAUAUGCGAUUUGUUCUUCUGCUUGGAUGAAUGCUGCAAAAGAAUUGAUAG
rnacentral:misc_RNA from 1 species